UACGUAGGGGGCAAGCGUUGUCCGGAAUCAUUGGGCGUAAAGAGCGUGUAGGCGGCUCGGUAAGUCCGCUGUGAAAGUCCAGGGCUCAACCCUGGAAUGCCGGUGGAAACUGUCGAGCUAGAGUCCGGAAGAGGCGAGUGGAAUUCCUGGUGUAGCGGUGAAAUGCGCGGAUAUCAGGAGGAACACCAAUGGCGAAGGCAGCUCGCUGGGACGGUACUGACGCUGAGACGCGAAAGCGUGGGGAGCGAACGGG
rnacentral:rRNA from 1 species